rnacentral:rRNA from 1 species
UACGAAGGGGGCUAGCGUUGUUCGGAAUCACUGGGCGUAAAGCGCACGUAGGCGGCUUUGUAAGUUAGAGGUGAAAGCCCGGGGCUCAACUCCGGAAUUGCCUUUAAAACUGCAUCGCUAGAAUUGUGGAGAGGUAAGUGGAAUUCCGAGUGUAGAGGUGAAAUUCGUAGAUAUUCGGAAGAACACCAGUGGCGAAGGCGACUUACUGGACACAUAUUGACGCUGAGGUGCGAAAGCGUGGGGAGCAAACAGG